rnacentral:rRNA from 1 species
GUCUGAUCUCGGAAGCUAAGCAGGGACGGGCUUGGUUAGUACCUGGAUGGGAGACCGCCUGGGAAUGGGAGGACCGCCUGGG